GACGAACGCUGGCGGCGUGCUUAACACAUGCAAGUCGAACGAUGAAGCCUAGCUUGCUAGGUGGAUUAGUGGCGAACGGGUGAGUAAUACGUGAGUAACCUACCUUUAACUCUGGGAUAAGCCUGGGAAACUGGGUCUAAUACCGGAUACGACCAAUCUCCGCAUGGGGUGUUGGUGGAAAGCGUUAUGUAGUGGUUAUAGAUGGGCUCACGGCCUAUCAGCUUGUUGGUGAGGUAACGGCUCACCAAGGCGACGACGGGUAGCCGGCCUGAGAGGGUGACCGGCCACACUGGGACUGAGACACGGCCCAGACUCCUACGGGAGGCAGCAGUGGGGAAUAUUGCACAAUGGGCGCAAGCCUGAUGCAGCGACGCCGCGUGAGGGAUGACGGCCUUCGGGUUG
rnacentral:rRNA from 1 species